GGCGAGGUAGCUCAGCCGGUUAGAGCGCAGGAUUCAUAAUCCUGAGGUCGGGGGUUCGAGCCCCCCUCUCGCUACAA
rnacentral:tRNA from 1 species